rnacentral:rRNA from 1 species
GGUUAAGCGAACAAGCGUACACGGUGGAUGCCCUGGCAGUCAGAGGCGAUGAAGGACGUGCUAAUCUGCGAAAAGCGCCGGUAAGGUGAUAUGAACCGUUAUAACCGGCGAUGUCCGAAUGGGGAAACCCGGUGCACUUCGGUGCAUCAUCGUUAGCUGAAUACAUAGGCUAACGAAGCGAACCGGGGGAACUGAAACAUCUAAGUACCCCGAGGAAAAGAAAUCAACCGAGAUUCCCCCAGUAGCGGCGAGCGAACGGGGAACAGCCCAGAGCCUGAAUCAGCUUGUGUGUCAGUGGAACGGUCUGGAAAGGCCGGCGAUACAGGGUGACAGCCCCGUACACGAAGGCACACAGGCUGUGAGCUCGAUGAGUAGGGCGGGACACGUGAUAUCCUGUCUGAAGAUGGGGGGACCAUCCUCCAAGGCUAAAUACUCCUGACUGACCGAUAGUGAACCAGUACCGUGAGGGAAAGGCGAAAAGAACCCCGGCGAGGGGAGUGAAACAGAACCUGAAACCGUGUACGUACAAGCAGUGGGAGCCUUCGUAAGAGGGUGACUGCGUACCUUUUGUAUAAUGGGUCAGCGACUUAUAUUCUGUAGCAAGGUUAACCGUAUAGGGGAGCCGAAGGGAAACCGAGUCUUAAUUGGGCGUUAAGUUGCAGGGUAUAGACCCGAAACCCGGUGAUCUAGCCAUGGGCAGGUUGAAGGUUGGGUAACACUAACUGGAGGACCGAACCGACUAAUGUUGAAAAAUUAGCGGAUGACCUGUGGCUGGGGGUGAAAGGCCAAUCAAACCGGGAGAUAGCUGGUUCUCCCCGAAAGCUAUUUAGGUAGCGCCUCGUGAACUCAUCUCCGGGGGUAGAGCACUGUUUCGGCUAGGGGGCCAUCCCGGCUUACCAACCCGAUGCAAACUGCGAAUACCGGAGAAUGUUAUCACGGGAGACACACGGCGGGUGCUAACGUCCGUCGUGAAGAGGGAAACAACCCAGACCGCCAGCUAAGGUCCCAAAGUCAUGGUUAAGUGGGAAACGAUGUGGGAAGGCCCAGACAGCCAGGAUGUUGGCUUAGAAGCAGCCAUCAUUUAAAGAAAGCGUAAUAGCUCACUGGUCGAGUCGGCCUGCGCGGAAGAUGUAACGGGGCUAAACCAUGCACCGAAGCUGCGGCAGCGACACUAUGUGUUGUUGGGUAGGGGAGCGUUCUGUAAGCCUGCGAAGGUGUGCUGUGAGGCAUGCUGGAGGUAUCAGAAGUGCGAAUGCUGACAUAAGUAACGAUAAAGCGGGUGAAAAGCCCGCUCGCCGGAAGACCAAGGGUUCCUGUCCAACGUUAAUCGGGGCAGGGUGAGUCGACCCCUAAGGCGAGGCCGAAAGGCGUAGUCGAUGGGAAACAGGUUAAUAUUCCUGUACUUGGUGUUACUGCGAAGGGGGGACGGAGAAGGCUAUGUCAGCCGGGCGACGGUCGUCCCGGUUUAAGCGUGUAGGCUGACUUUCCAGGCAAAUCCGGAAAGUUAAGGCUGAGGCGUGAUGACGAGGCACCACGGUGCUGAAGUGACAAAUGCCCUGCUUCCAGGAAAAGCCUCUAAGCAUCAGGUAACAUUAAAUCGUACCCCAAACCGACACAGGUGGUCAGGUAGAGAAUACCAAGGCGCUUGAGAGAACUCGGGUGAAGGAACUAGGCAAAAUGGUGCCGUAACUUCGGGAGAAGGCACGCUGACAUGUAGGUGAAGCCCCUGCGGGUGGAGCUGAAGUCAGUCGAAGAUACCAGCUGGCUGCAACUGUUUAUUAAAAACACAGCACUGUGCAAACACGAAAGUGGACGUAUACGGUGUGACGCCUGCCCGGUGCCGGAAGGUUAAUUGAUGGGGUUAUCGCAAGAGAAGCUCCUGAUCGAAGCCCCGGUAAACGGCGGCCGUAACUAUAACGGUCCUAAGGUAGCGAAAUUCCUUGUCGGGUAAGUUCCGACCUGCACGAAUGGCGUAAUGAUGGCCAGGCUGUCUCCACCCGAGACUCAGUGAAAUUGAACUCGCUGUGAAGAUGCAGUGUACCCGCGGCAAGACGGAAAGACCCCGUGAACCUUUACUACAGCUUGACACUGAACAUUGAGCCUUGAUGUGUAGGAUAGGUGGGAGGCUUUGAAGCGUGGACGCCAGUCUGCGUGGAGCCAACCUUGAAAUACCACCCUUUAAUGUUUGAUGUUCUAACCUGGCGCCGUGAUCCGGCGUGGGGACAGUGUCUGGUGGGUAGUUUGACUGGGGCGGUCUCCUCCCAAAGUGUAACGGAGGAGCACGAAGGUCAGCUAAUCCUGGUCGGACAUCAGGAGGUUAGUGCAAUGGCAUAAGCUGGCUUGACUGCGAGAGUGACGGCUCGAGCAGGUGCGAAAGCAGGUCAUAGUGAUCCGGUGGUUCUGUAUGGAAGGGCCAUCGCUCAACGGAUAAAAGGUACUCCGGGGAUAACAGGCUGAUACCGCCCAAGAGUUCAUAUCGACGGCGGUGUUUGGCACCUCGAUGUCGGCUCAUCACAUCCUGGGGCUGAAGUAGGUCCCAAGGGUAUGGCUGUUCGCCAUUUAAAGUGGUACGCGAGCUGGGUUUAGAACGUCGUGAGACAGUUCGGUCCCUAUCUGCCGUGGGCGCUGGAGAAUUGAGGGGGGCUGCUCCCAGUACGAGAGGACCGGAGUGGACGCAUCACUGGUGUUCGGGUUGUCAUGCCAAUGGCACUGCCCGGUAGCUAAAUGCGGAAGAGAUAAGUGCUGAAAGCAUCUAAGCACGAAACUUGCCCCGAGAUGAGUUCUCCCUGAGACUAUAAGUCUCCUGAAGGAACGUUGAAGACGACGACGUUGAUAGGCCGGGUGUGUAAGCGCAGCGAUGCGUUGAGCUAACCGGUACUAAUGAACCGUGAGGCUUAACCUU